rnacentral:tRNA from 1 species
GUCAGGAUGGCCGAGUGGUCUAAGGCGCCAGACUCAGGUUCUGGUCUCCAUAUGGAGGCGUGGGUUCAAAUCCCACUUCUGACA